rnacentral:antisense_RNA from 1 species
GCUGUGCCACGCGCUGGGUCCCGUUGGCGCCGGGGCCUCCUCGGACGGGCCUCCGGGUAUGCAUUCCUUCCAGAAAGGCCCCACACGCCUGUGUCUGCCGUGGCCCCAGAUCCUCCCCGCACCGCCGUUUCGAGCGUUUACGCUCAUUACCCAGGUCCGUCUGGGAGACCCGCCGGGCUCCUGCCCUCCUGGCCAAAAUCCUCCCGGGACACCCCACCCGGACUGCUGUGAACGGGCCUCCACCCGCCUCCCCGGACCCGCAGCACCCCCCGCUCCCUCAGGGUUCUGGGGUGAAGGGGUCUGAAUAGCACCAGGGGAGGCGGCAGGGCGGGCCUGUCCUACCUGCGCCCGAGCACUGCUGAGACAACAUCCCUUCCAGCGCCGCCACGUAGUCCAGCCCCAGCCAGUCGCGGUCCUGGAAGCACCGCAAGCAGACGACCUGCUUCUCACUGGGCUCAGGCAGGGUCACCCGCCCAGUGCCGCUAGCUGCAAAUUGCUUUACAUACAGUGACCCAAAGAGCAAGUAAUUUCAGGGCCCCACCACUCUGAUUGGAAGUCAUAAGCUUGACAACUGAUUGGCCUCUGUCACCCAAGCGGGUGUGGGGACACUAGGCCCGCAGGUGCCACUGGAAGAGGCGUUCGGAAGCACUGCGAUGCUCCAGCUCCUGGAUGCAGAUAUCUCCCCACAAACCUAAACAAUUUCGAGAGGGACUUGUGUUCUGCAACCAGUCACAGAAUAUCAGGUGAGCUGGGCGUGUCUUCACCGACCCACCCGCCCAGGGACGCUGCACUCCUCUCCACCCUGCUCAGAAUCACUAGAAUGACCGUUCUGUGGCUGCAGCCCUAAAAGAGCUACUAAAAAGACCAGAAGUGGUAUGAGAACUUACAAAUACAAAUAUAAAUAAAGGACAUCUGGAGAACAUGCA